CCGGAACUGACUGCGAGGUGCCAAAGCGGGAAACUGGCACGUCUCGAGUCCGACACAAGUGUGUGCUUCCUGUUAUACCGCUCGAGACUGCAGGACGGAAAUGUAACACACAAGCUGGUGGAAUUUGUGGUUGACGGUUCGAGGCGUGUUCACGUAUGAACAUUUACAUGAUGAUUUUCAUUUAAAAAGACCAGACGUGGGAAAGCCUGUCUGACUCAUCCCUGAAGACAUCACUUCCGGUUCCAACGCCUAGGAUGAUGUCACUUCUGGUCGUAGCCUCUUUACAACCUGAACUCAGAUCACUUUUGGAAACCAUCAAAGACACUUCUGUCUACUUUUUCAAAACUCAUUGCAGCCAGGGACAAUACACCUUAACACCAGCAAGACCAAGGAGCUGGUGGUGGA